GGCUCCAUAGAAUAGUGGUUAGCACUUCUGCUUUACAUGCAGAAGGUCCUAGGUUCGAGCCCUAGUGGAGUCA
rnacentral:tRNA from 1 species